rnacentral:piRNA from 1 species
UGGAACAUGGUGCCUGUUGGCAGAACUUAAC